rnacentral:rRNA from 1 species
AUGCAAGUCGAACGGGGCAGAGUGAUAGCUUGCUAUUAUGAUGCUUAGUGGCAAACGGGUGAGUAACGCGUAGGCAACCUGCCCUCCGGAUGGGGACAACACUCCGAAAGGGGUGCUAAUACCGAAUGAAGUAUUCCGGUCACAUGACCGGAAUACCAAAGGCCGGGCAACCGGCCACCGGGGGAUGGGCCUGCGUCUGAUUAGCUGGUUGGCGGGGUAACGGCCCACCAAGGCGACGAUCAGUAGCCGGUCUGAGAGGAUGAACGGCCACAUUGGGACUGAGACACGGCCCAAACUCCUACGGGAGGCAGCAGUGGAGAAUCUUCCGCAAUGGGCGCAAGCCUGACGGAGCAACGCCGCGUGAGUGAAGAAGGUUUUCGGAUCGUAAAGCUCUGUUGAGAGGGACGAGAGAUGUGCUUAGGAAAUGAGGCGCAGAGGACGGUACCUUUCGAGGAAGCCACGGCUAACUACGUGCCAGCAGCCGCGGUAAUACGUAGGUGGCGAGCGUUGUCCGGAAUUAUUGGGCGUAAAGGGAGCGCAGGUGGGAUAGUAAGUCAGUCUUAAAAGUUCGGGGCUUAACCCCGUGAUGGGAUUGAAACUAUUAUUCUUGAGUGCAGGAGAGGAAAGCGGAAUUCCUAGUGUAGCGGUGAAAUGCGUAGAUAUUAGGAGGAACACCAGUGGCGAAGGCGGCCUUCUGGACUGUAACUGACACUGAGGCUCGAAAGCGUGGGGAGCGAACAGGAUUAGAUACCCUGGUAGUCCACGCCGUAAACGAUGGAUACUAGGUGUAGGAGGUAUCGACCCCUUCUGUGCCGGAGUUAACGCAAUAAGUAUCCCGCCUGGGGAGUACGGUCGCAAGACUGCAACUCAAAUGAAUUGACGGA